AUUGAACGCUGGCGGCAGGCUUAACACAUGCAAGUCGAGCGGUAACAGAGAGAAGCUUGCUUCUCUGCUGACGAGCGGCGGACGGGUGAGUAAUGCCUAGGAAUCUGCCUAGUAGUGGGGGAUAACUUGCCGAAAGGUAAGCUAAUACCGCAUACGUCCUACGGGAGAAAGGAGGGGACCUUCGGGCCUUUCGCUAUUAGAUGAGCCUAGGUCGGAUUAGUUAGUUGGUGAGGUAAUGGCUCACCAAGACCGCGAUCCGUAACUGGUCCGAGAGGAUGAUCAGUCACACUGGAACUGAGACACGGUCCAGACUCCUACGGGAGGCAGCAGUGGGGAAUAUUGGACAAUGGGGGGAACCCUGAUCCAGCCAUGCCGCGUGUGUGAAGAAGGUCUUAGGAUUGUAAAGCACUUUAGGUUGGGAGGAAGAGCAGUUAACUAAUAUUUGACUGUUUUGACGUUACCGACAGAAUAAGCACCGGCUAACUUCGUGCCAGCCGCCGCCGCAG
rnacentral:rRNA from 1 species